AGUGAACGCUGGCGGUAGGCCUAACACAUGCAAGUCGAACGGCAGCACAGUAAGAUCUUGCUCUUACGGGUUGCGAGUGGCGGACGGGUGAGGAAUACAUCGGAAUCUUCUUUUUCGUGGGGGAUAACGUAGGUAAACUUACGCUAAUACCGCAUACGACCUACGGUUGAAAGCAGUGGAUCUUCGGACCUUUCGCGAUUGAAUGAGCCGAUGUCGGAUUAGCUAGUUGGCGGGGUAAAGGCCCACCAAGGCGACGAUCCGUAGCUGGUCUGAGAGGAUGAUAAGCCACACUGGAACUGAGACACGGUCCAGACUCCUACGGGAGGCAGCAGUGGGGAAUAUUGGACAAUGGGCGCAAGCCUGAUCCAGCCAUACCGCGUGGGUGAAGAAGGCCUUCGGGUUGUAAAGCCCUUUUGUUGGGAAAGAAAAGCAGCAGGUUAAUACCCCGCUGUUCUGACGGUACCCAAAGAAUAAGCACCGGCUAACUUCGUG
rnacentral:rRNA from 1 species